AUGAAAUAAUGGAUCGACUGGGCUUGUAGUCACUGGAAUCUAGAAGGAUGAGAGAGGAUCUUAUCGAACUAUAUAAAAUUCUUAAGGGAUUAGACAGACUAGAUGCACGAAAAAUGGUCCUGAUGUUGGAGUGCAGAGA